GCGGUAACAGAUCCAGCUUGCUGGAUGCUGACGAGCGGCGGACGGGUGAUUAAUGCAUAGGAAUCUGCCCGAUAGUGGGGGAUAACCUGGGGAAACCCAGGCUAAUACCGCAUACGUCCUACGGGAGAAAGGGGGCUUCGGCUCCCGCUAUCGGAUGAGCCUAUGUCGGAUUAGCUAGUUGGUGAGGUAAAGGCUCACCAAGGCAACGAUCCGUAGCUGGUCUGAGAGGAUGAUCAGCCACAUCGGGACUGAGACACGGCCCGAACUCCUACGGGAGGCAGCAGUGGGGAAUAUUGGACAAUGGGGGCAACCCUGAUCCAGCCAUGCCGCGUGUGUGAAGAAGGCCCUCGGGUUGUAAAGCACUUUCAGCGAGGAAGAACGCCUAGUGGUUAAUACCCGCUAGGAAAGACAUCACUCGCAGAAGAAGCACCGGCUAACUCCGUGCCAGCAGCCGCGGUAGAUACGGAGGGUGCAAGCGUUAAUCGGAAUUACUGGGCGUAAAGCGCGCGUAGGUGGCUUGAUAAGCCGGUUGUGAAAGCCCCGGGCUCAACCUGGGAACGGCAUCCGGAACUGUCGAGCUAGGAGUGCAGGAGAGGAAGGUAG
rnacentral:rRNA from 1 species